rnacentral:ncRNA from 3 species
UUGACAUCAUCAUACUUGGGA